AAAAAAGAACGGGGCUCGACUUUUUCCGUACAGAUUCGGAAUCAGAGCCGAGCUCUUAACUACUACGCGCGACAAACACAUCAAUCGGAUCUUGGCUUGCGGCUGUGAUAUUUUUUUGCACUCAAUCAAACAACUAAAAAAGAAAGUAUCCUUCUGCUGAAAUGGACACCGCCAAUCAGCUUGCAUCCGCGGGGACAUUUCGAGUGCUAAAAUUACCUCUGGGAUUUAUCCGUGUUUUGGAAUGGCUCUUUGCCAUUUUUGCAUUUGCAACAUGUGGGGGCUACUCUGGGCAGCUGCGGGUUAGUGUUGACUGCAUGGAGAAGGCCGGCAGCAACCUCAGCAUCGGCAUCGACUUUGCUUAUCCUUUCAGGUUGCAGCAGGUGUCUUUUGAAGCCCCUCUGUGUGAGGCCAUGAGGAGGGAGCGUGUGUUCCUCAUUGGAGACUACUCAUCCUCUGCAGAGUUCUUCGUCACCAUUGCUGUCUUUGCCUUUCUGUAUUCCCUUGUGGCCACCAUCGUCUACAUCCUCUUUCACAACAAGUAUCGCGAAAACAACCGAGGACCGCUGACUGACUUUGUAGUGACCAUGGUGUUCUCCUUCAUGUGGCUGAUCAGUUCCUCUGCUUGGGCGAAGGCUCUGUCUGAUGUGAAAGUGGUCACUGAUCCAGAUGAAGUGCAGCUCCUCAUCUCUGCCUGCAAAGUCCAGACCAACAAGUGUGGCUCCGUGCAUGGGGCUCGCUGGUCUGGUCUCAACACCUCAGUGGUUUUUGGGUUUCUCAACUUUGUCCUAUGGGCUGGAAACAUCUGGUUUGUUUUUAAGGAGACUGGUUGGCACAAGGGUGCAUCAAGGAUUGCAGGUAGGGCAUCUGAGAAACAGGCUGGCACCUUUAACCAGCAGCCCUACAACCAGGGUAGCUUUGACCAGUCGGGGAGCUACAACACGCAGGGGAACCUUGGCCAGCUGUCUGAGUACAGCCAGGUGGGAGGGCCCACCUCCUACUCCAAUCAAAUGUAGCCAUGCCUUUUUGUUUUGUGAGUGGCACUCCUACAUUUUAAACCAUAGGAAUCGGUGGGUGCCAGGAGAGGACGAAAACAGAGUUAGUGUUCAUUCUCUACUCAGUCUGUCUCUGCAGAAAACAAAAAGGUGGUCAUGAAAAAGGUGUCAAAGUGCACCCGUCGUACAUACAAGUAUUGUACAAAACAAUUAGAUGUAGUCAUUUACUUCUUCUCCUUCAGUGGUGUUGUUUGCUGAAUGUUGUAUUUCUUGUAGUUUGAAACACAUCAAUGAUACUGCAGUUUCUUUUUCUGUGCUUGGUAAUUGAUGUUCACUGUUUUACUGUAACUGGAGGUCUUUUUCAAACUGGUGUGCACUGUGUGGUUGAAGGAACACCUGCUCUGUUUGUAUAGUUUAAGUGCAUGGUGUUGUAUUUGUACUAAUAUGUUCUGUAUAAAACUAUUGGAGAGAAACAUGCUUUUUAUAUCUGAAAGUUUACAAAAUUCACACUGCCCUGAAAAUUGAAUUUGAGCAGUAAUAUUGCUUUUUUAUUUAUUACUUUUUAACCUAACAAGAUGUAUAUUUUGAUAAAAGGUAUUCCUAAUUUAAAUACAGAUUCAGAAUAUACUUUACAGAAGUAUCUGUUACAUUUGUUACAUAUACAUUCUAACUCAUGUCUGCCAGUGGCUUUGAUAAUGUCAGAGUCUAAAAAAGGGAGAAAAAGCAAUAACUGCAUAUUGCAACAGUACAUUAUACAUAGGCACCAUAUAUGCAACGAUUCCAGCAGGUUGCUUCUCUUUCCAUGGUUUUCAUUUCUUUGUUGCAUCUGCACCUACACUAUCACAUUGUCAUUUUAUGUGAAUAUUCUAAAGUGGGAGAUUGUCUCCCUCACUGUUUACAGGUAGCUAUGUCUGCUACAAAUUACUGUGACUACUUUCUAUGCUAUUCUCAGACUACUGAAAAAAUUAUAACACAUACUGUAAGUUAUACCUCUUUAAAGCAUGUCCAGAGUAUCCAUUUACACUCCUAAAGCCCAGCAAAAAACACAACAGUACUACAGUGAUAAUACACUCACUAGCCACUUUAUCAGGUACGCGUGUACAAUUCUAUGCACUUUAGUGCAACACUUCCAUCUGAACAUCUGUGUUUAUGAAGCUGAAGAU